rnacentral:tRNA from 1 species
ACUCAAGAUCCACAGGAAGAGUCGGCGUAUGCUUUGGAACCUCAGGGCCAGGAGCCACUAAUCUUGUUACAGGCAUC